rnacentral:rRNA from 1 species
GACGAACGCUGGCGGCGUGCUUAACACAUGCAAGUGGAGCGACGAACCAGGCUUCGGCCUGGGGCAAAGCCGCGAACGGGUGAGUAACACGUGGGUAACCUGCCCUGAUGACCGGGACAACCCGAGGAAACUCGGGCUAAUACCGGAUGUGCUCCCACCACAUCAGUGGUGUGAGUAAAGGUAGCUUCGGCCUCCGCAUCGGGAUGGGCCCGCGGCGCAUUAGCUUGUUGGUGGGGUAAAGGCCUACCAAGGCAACGAUGCGUAGCUGGUCUGAGAGGACGAUCAGCCACAUUGGGACUGAGACACGGCCCAAACUCCUACGGGAGGCAGCAGUGGGGAAUAUUGGACAAUGGGCGCAAGCCUGAUCCAGCCAUGCCGCGUGAGUGAUGAAGGCCUUAGGGUUGUAAAGCUCUUUCGACGGGGACGAUAAUGACGGUA